UUAAUUGUUUGUUAUGCUGCAAUUUGCGAACACCCAGAACCAGAAAUUGGUCCAACGUAGAUACAAAUAAGGUAGGACAAAGGCUUUAUGUGCCUCCUGAGCUGGAAACGAUAAUUCUUUGUCCGUCUGUCUCUGUGCGACUGUUGUUUGUUUUAUUUUUGGUAUCUUUGAUCCUCUGCUGUUAGGUCUUGUUCUUCCUUUUCUUCCACUUCUCUGCAAAUCUUCAUAUGUACGCGGAUUGACCAUCAAAUUUUCGCCAACGUUUAGCCCUCUGGGUCAAUCACGCAAUCUCAAUUUACAUUGGCUUUUGAAUGGUGGCUUGGUUUGCUCAUCAAUCCUAGUCUGAAAGUUUGGUGUUGAACAUCAAGAUGGGAGCUUGUGCGUCCAAGGGGUUCAUUGGGAACAAAAUGUGAUUUUGAUAUAAUGCAAAUGGAAUGCUGUAGGGCACUACGAAAAGUCUGAAUCAUUAACUAAAAGCAUCAACAAAUCAGAGAGAGAACAUGAACUUGUAAUUGCUUGGGUGAGAGAAAAGAAAGAGAAAGAUAGAAAUCAUGUCCUUUGCAGCAAUCAUGUUCUUCCAUUAGAGAAACUCAAAAAAGACUUGAUUUGGUGAAGAACCUUGGUACCAUUCCAAGGUCUGGCACCAAGAAAUUCAUGGAAGCCUUGGCAGCGUGGCUGCUGUACCUGAUUUUAGCAUGAUUGGUCAGUUUGGUGUUGGGUUCUACUUUGCAUAUCUUGUUGUUAAGAAGGAAGAGGAAGUUGAUGAAGAGAAGGAAGUGGUCAUGUUUCUGGCCUUGAUGUUUUUGACCUUUAUGUUUAGGCACGGUUAGUAUGUUCAUGUUGGGAUGAUGAUGGAAUGAAUUGGUUUUGGAUAUUUAAUCAAUUAAUGGAUAUGUUUUCGGAUGUGUUGAUCAAUUAGUUUUGGUUAGAUACCAUAUGCAGAAUGUAUGUACUGUGACUCUCUCUCAUACCAUUUCAUUCCAAAUA